AUGUGCACCUACCUGAGAGCGGUAAGCACAUCUGGUGAAGUUUACUGCACCUUGGUGAUGGGAAGAUCGAGAGUUCCACCAUCCAAGGUCACAACUAUACCACGUCUAGAGUUGUCAGCGGCCGUUGUUGCUGUUCGCACCGGUGACAUGCUAAAAAAGGAAUUUGAAAUAGAAAUCUCAGAAGAAAGGUACUGGACUGACUCUAAAGUGGUGCUCGGCUAUAUCAGUAAUGAGGCCAGAAGGUUUCACGUGUUUGUUGCAAACCGUGUCGAACGCAUCAAACAAGGUACAGAGUCAACACAAUGGUGGUAUGUAACUUCCAAAGACAAUCCGGCAGACCACGCCUCAAGAGGCCUUACAGCAGAACAACUUGUAGCUUCAAACUGGUUCAAGGGCCCAGAUCUUCUCUGGCAGAAGGUCAUAACCAGUAGUGUACUUAAGGUGGGAGAGUUAUCGAACAGUGACCCAGAGGUCAGGAAAGUUCAAGUCCACACGAUACAAGUAGAAGAACAAAGGUCAUUGUUAGAUCGGCUUCAGAAGUUUUCCGACUGGUUGAGAAUGAUUAAAGCUGUGGCCAGACUCAAGCGCUAUGUUAAAGAAGCAAAGGAUCACAAGAAGUCAUGUAACAUUGUUAACCUACAAGAGAGAAAAGAAGCAGAGGUAACCAUAAUAAAGAUGGUCCAAGCAGCAGUGUUUACUCAGGAGAUAAAAACCUUACAACAUCAUGAGGUGAUGCAGACCAAAAACAGGGUCAGCAAAUUAUGUCCAUUUCUCGACAACCAAGGCCUUCUUCGGGUAGGCGGACACUUAACACAUGCUGCUUUGCAUCCUAAUGUCAGACAUCCUGUGAUCCUGCCAAGAAACAGUCAUGUGUCUACAUUACUCGUCAAACAUUAUCACGAGAAGACAUACCAUCAAGGAAGAGGGAUCACGAUGAACGAGCUGCGAGCUAAUGGAUACUGGAUACUUGGAUGCAGUAAGAUUGUUUCAUCUUACAUCUAUAAAUGUUUAAAAUGCAGAAGAUUCAGAAGGUGCACAGAGCAGCAGAAGAUGGCAGACCUCCCGGAGGAUAGGAUGGAAACUACACCACCAUUCACCUACUGUGGGAUGGACUGCUUUGGUCCUUUUUACGUCAAGGAUGGCCGCAAGGAGUUAAAGCGUUAUGGAUUGUUAAUCACCUGCAUGUGCUCCAGAGCAGUACAGCUUGAGAUGCUUGAUGAUCUAUCAACGGAUUCCCUCAUCAACUCUUUACGUGCAUUCAUAGCCAUCAGAGGUACAGUUCGGCAGAUAAGAUGUGAUCAAGGCACGAACUUUGUUGGCACCAGAAAUGAGUUUGCUGAAGCAUUCAAGGAAAUGGAUCAAGCAAAGCUGGAAAACUGGACUGCGAGUUUCUCAUGA
ensembl:lncRNA